rnacentral:rRNA from 1 species
UACGAAGGGUGCAAGCGUUACUCGGAAUUACUGGGCGUAAAGCGUGCGUAGGUGGUUUGUUAAGUCUGAUGUGAAAGCCCUGGGCUCAACCUGGGAAUUGCAUUGGAUACUGGCAGGCUAGAGUGCGGUAGAGGGUAGUGGAAUUCCCGGUGUAGCAGUGAAAUGCGUAGAGAUCGGGAGGAACACUAGUGGCGAAGGCGACUACCUGGACCAGCACUGACACUGAGGCACGAAAGCGUGGGGAGCAAACAGG